UACGUAGGGUGCAAGCGUUGUCCGGAAUUAUUGGGCGUAAAGAGCUCGUAGGCGGUUUGUUGCGUCGACGGUGAAAACCCAUGGCUUAACUGUGGGCUUGCCGUCGAUACGGGCAGACUAGAGUGCGGUAGGGGAGACUGGAAUUCCUGGUGUAGCGGUGAAAUGCGCAGAUAUCAGGAGGAACACCGGUGGCGAAGGCGGGUCUCUGGGCCGUUACUGACGCUGAGGAGCGAAAGCGUGGGGAGCAAACAGG
rnacentral:rRNA from 1 species